AAAUUGAAGAGUUUGAUCAUGGCUCAGAUUGAACGCUGGCGGCAGGCCUAACACAUGCAAGUCGAGCGGUAACACAGAGAGCUUGCUCUCGGGUGACGAGCGGCGGACGGGUGAGUAAUGUCUGGGAAACUGCCUGAUGGAGGGGGAUAACUACUGGAAACGGUAGCUAAUACCGCAUAACGUCGUAAGACCAAAGUGGGGGACCUUCGGGCCUCAUGCCAUCAGAUGUGCCCAGAUGGGAUUAGCUAGUAGGUGGGGUAAUGGCUCACCUAGGCGACGAUCCCUAGCUGGUCUGAGAGGAUGACCAGCCACACUGGAACUGAGACACGGUCCAGACUCCUACGGGAGGCAGCAGUGGGGAAUAUUGCACAAUGGGCGCAAGCCUGAUGCAGCCAUGCCGCGUGUAUGAAGAAGGCCUUCGGGUUGUAAAGUACUUUCAGCGAGGAGGAAGGCGUUAAGGUUAAUAACCUUAGCGAUUGACGUUACUCGCAGAAGAAGCACCGGCUAACUCCGUGCCAGCAGCCGCGGUAAUACGGAGGGUGCAAGCGUUAAUCGGAAUUACUGGGCGUAAAGCGCACGCAGGCGGUCUGUCAAGUCGGAUGUGAAAUCCCCGGGCUCAACCUGGGAACUGCAUUCGAAACUGGCAGGCUAGAGUCUUGUAGAGGGGGGUAGAAUUCCAGGUGUAGCGGUGAAAUGCGUAGAGAUCUGGAGGAAUACCGGUGGCGAAGGCGGCCCCCUGGACAAAGACUGACGCUCAGGUGCGAAAGCGUGGGGAGCAAACAGGAUUAGAUACCCUGGUAGUCCACGCCGUAAACGAUGUCGACUUGGAGGUUGUGCCCUUGAGGCGUGGCUUCCGGAGCUAACGCGUUAAGUCGACCGCCUGGGGAGUACGGCCGCAAGGUUAAAACUCAAAUGAAUUGACGGGGGCCCGCACAAGCGGUGGAGCAUGUGGUUUAAUUCGAUGCAACGCGAAGAACCUUACCUACUCUUGACAUCCAGAGAACUUAGCAGAGAUGCUUUGGUGCCUUCGGGAACUCUGAGACAGGUGCUGCAUGGCUGUCGUCAGCUCGUGUUGUGAAAUGUUGGGUUAAGUCCCGCAACGAGCGCAACCCUUAUCCUUUGUUGCCAGCGGUCCGGCCGGGAACUCAAAGGAGACUGCCAGUGAUAAACUGGAGGAAGGUGGGGAUGACGUCAAGUCAUCAUGGCCCUUACGAGUAGGGCUACACACGUGCUACAAUGGCAUAUACAAAGAGAAGCGACCUCGCGAGAGCAAGCGGACCUCAUAAAGUAUGUCGUAGUCCGGAUUGGAGUCUGCAACUCGACUCCAUGAAGUCGGAAUCGCUAGUAAUCGUAGAUCAGAAUGCUACGGUGAAUACGUUCCCGGGCCUUGUACACACCGCCCGUCACACCAUGGGAGUGGGUUGCAAAAGAAGUAGGUAGCUUAACCUUCGGGAGGGCGCUUACCACUUUGUGAUUCAUGACUGGGGUGAAGUCGUAACAAGGUAACCGUAGGGGAACCUGCGGUUGGAUCACCUCCUUA
rnacentral:rRNA from 1 species